rnacentral:lncRNA from 1 species
CUUUACAAGCACUGGAUUUCUCUGUCAAAGUACAAGAGAGGAUGUUGAGAGAGUUUGUCAGGAAUGUAAGACUACACUGCUUCCCAGUGAUGCCAAGGUGCUAAAGCAUAGCUUCUCUUAAAUUAUGUAUGAAAUAUAUAAAAAAUUAUACAUACGCAAAUCUAUAUUUGUUUUAGAUUGUCCACAUUCUGGGGAAGAAAAGAAAAGGAAAGCUCAGUUUCUGCUAUGAAAAACUCACCGCUAAUGGAAAAAAUUAUCCUUCCCAUUCUUCAGUGUAUAAUGAGAUGCAACUAUGCUUCCCCGCCACCUUUAAGUUCACAAAACCUUCUUUGUUUCUCUAAUCACGUGGGAAAACUCUGCUGGCUGUGUACCUAACAACUGCAGAAGUUAGUGCUGUAUUUCACUGCCCCCUCCCCGUUCAUUCUUGUAUCCAUUGCAAUUAUCUGUCCUUUGAAGUUCAAUGUGUCACGCAUUUAAAAUGAAUGCUGGAGGUAUAGCCAUAGGUCGGCGUGUGCCGUUCAUGGCUUUAAUUGUAAUCUAUGCCCUGUUUUCUCCAGGGAAUGUUUGACCUGACACUACACUGAAUUUAUGAGAGUGAAAUCCCUUCACAAAGGUUUGCAGUUAAAAACACAAAUGAACAGGUAUACAUCAGCAUCUAUUGGUAAUGACAGCAGCAACACUUUCUCGAAAAGAAAAGCAGGAUCUGGCUACUCUGGGUCCAAGUCAUCUUGCUGCCUUUGAGGAGCACGUGCUGCAGCAGACGGCGUGUGGAGCCCCUGCCAGACAGGCGCAAGGGUUGGGCUUGCAGAUCUCAACAGCUCCAUUGCCAUGACGAAUGAAGCUGUCAGAGGAAGAUAUGAUUCUCUAGGCUUGGUCUACGGCCAUAGUUCUGCAGUUGAAGAUCUCAGACCAGGUCUCAGAUGUGAUAUGGAUGGUGAAGAAGACAUAAGGAAGAUGAUGCAGAGUGCACUGGAGAAUUAAGAGGUAUUUGGUGCACUUAAGGGAGGUUGAUAAGUGCUGUAAAGAAGCAUAUUAUAACAGUAAUUGUGCAGAUCAACAGACAUUACAUCACAGGAAAAUAAAUAAAAUCACAGUGUUUCUGAGA